CGUCUCCCGCGCUCAGUCCCACAGAGCUGCUGCGGCGAGGCCGGCAGAGCCCCGGGGUUUUCCAAUUUCCUCUUCAGAGAUGCCACCUCCUGACGAAGAGUCACAGCCUCUUCCUGCCUUUCCGUGGCCUCUUUGUCCAGGAGAAUUUGCAUGGCCUGCAUCUGGAAGAUGGACACACACAGCCUCAGGGACAGGGCUGCUCCUGAGGCAGCAGAGUGGGCAAGAGAGAGAGAGCAACAAAGAAGAAAUUAUGUCACACAAAAAACAUGCCACAACUGGAAGGCACAGAAGCAAGGAUUGCAAUGGAGACCAAUGGAGACAAAACAGGGAAAGGGAGGCAAUGGGCAUCCUUGGGCUGCAGCUCUGAACUGGCUGUGCUGGAAGUGCCCUGCCCAGCCUGCCAC